GUAUGAAUUUGAAAAUCUCUUGACAGAGUUCUUCAGGGAGGCUCUUACAAUUGUGUAGCAUUGGCAGCACACACAAGAAAAUGGACCAAUCUACCAACCACAGACCAGGUGCAACCAUGGAGACCAGGACCAUAAAGUGCCUUUGUCUUGGGGUCACUUUGAGAAAACAUUGUAGAUCCAGGGGCUCUGAGCUGAAGAGGAAAAACAAUCAUAGUGUUCUAGGACUCAUUCUUGAAGCCCAGUCUCCAUACUGUGAGGAAGCCCAAAAGGCACACACUAACAGAACACGUGGAAAAGCUUCAGCCUCGUGUAGAUGUUCUGGUCAACAUCCCAGUUGAUGUCACAGCCAACAGCCUGCAUCAAGUGCCUGACACGUGAGUGAUGACACCUCCAGAUGAUUCCAGCCCCUAGCCAUUGGAUCACCCCCAGCUGUCAAAUCUUCCAGCUGAGGCCCCAGACAUUGUGGGGCAGAGACAAGCUGUUCCCAUUGUGCCCCAUCCAAAUUCCUGACCCACAGAAUGAAUGAGCAUAAAUAAAAUGGUUGUCUUAUGCC